AAUGAACGCUGGCGGCAUGCCUAACACAUGCAAGUCGAACGAAGCCUUCGGGCUUAGUGGCGCACGGGUGCGUAACGCGUGGGAAUCUGCCCUUGGGUUCGGAAUAACUCUCCGAAAGGAGUGCUAAUACCGGAUGAUGUCGAAAGACCAAAGAUUUAUCGCCCAGGGAUGAGCCCGCGUAGGAUUAGCGAGUUGGUGAGGUAAAAGCUCACCAAGGCGACGAUCCUUAGCUGGUCUGAGAGGAUGAUCAGCCACACUGGGACUGAGACACGGCCCAGACUCCUACGGGAGGCAGCAGUGGGGAAUAUUGGACAAUGGGCGAAAGCCGGAUCCAGCAAUGCCGCGUGAGUGAUGAAGGCCUUAGGGUUGUAAAGCUCUUUUACCCGGGAUGAGAAUGACAGUACCGGGAGAAUAAGCCCCGGCUAACUCCGUGCCAGCCGCCGCAGUAA
rnacentral:rRNA from 1 species